CGUCUUCAGGCUGGCGGCGUGGUUAGAGCUCGGGAACCCAGGGCCGGAGGGUGUGAGAUGAGGCCGCAGACCUCGGCCAAGGCCAGGGGGCUGAGAGAGAAGAUCUCGUCUUCCAGGAGGUUGGCGCAAGGCAGGUGCUUACUAAACAGUUUCUCAAGGGUCCUCACGCUCAGGCGCCGUCCGCUCGGCCUGAGCCCUCCGGCCCCCGACGCGCAGCUGUGCGCCUCGCGCCUCGCGCCGCGGCCUCUGGGCCCCAUCCCUGCAUUUCCCGUGCGAUGCAAUCACCGUAAAUGUCCACCCAGUAAUGGACGAAAAUCCCAAUUCGCCUGAUUUCAAACAUUUGGAAACUGCCUCCUCGCUUUCACUCAGGGUUGUGAGAAAGAAAUUCAGGGGUGCCCGCCGUGGUGAUCUCUCUGACGGAGUGAGAACCAGAACUAACUACGAGUUUCUGAUACUCAGCAAAAUGUUACUUUCCUCCCUGGAUUGAUGAACGUGACUCGUGUUAAUUCAGCUAUUGGCAGGAGCUGCAAGGUCGCGCGGGGCACUACGGUUUCGCUGGUCUGCAGAGAGUCCCUUCCCUUCGGUGCGGAGAGACCCCUCCCCUGUUUGAGUCCUGCUUUUGGCCCUUCAAGCGGCAGCACGUUGGCACAGUGGAGGAUCUGUGAGCAGAGCACCCAGGUGGAGUGUCCUGGCAGCGAGAGACUCUGGACGUAAGCGCAGAAUACAGGUCCAGCUGAACUGACAGACCUGGAUGCUUUUUGCCCAGAAAUAUAACUCAAAACUGGUUUGGUUCCAUGACAUCAACCUUGGCAUGUAUGAAGAAUAAGGGAAUGAAGGCUUUGUCUUACUUGGAACCAAAAGAGAGGAAUCUCCACUUUCUCUGUCUUUUCCAUUUUUAUUAAGACAGUAUUUUUUCCUUUUAGUCGGAUGAUGUAUACUUUUAACAUUACAGGGGAAAAGUGUCAGUGAUAUGCAAGUCAUAAUAAAAGAAAAUCAAAAGAAAUGCAAUUAUAAGGGACAGGGAACUUCAUCAUUUUUAGUAUGAAAUGCCCAAAGGAAAAUCUAAUUUUAAAAAUUACCAGCACCAUAUAAAGGAGAAGAGAAUAUACAGAAAAGAUUUGUUAUUUUAAAAAUUAACUUAAUCCUUAAUCUUUCUGGCUCUUGGCCUUUUCUCUUUAUUUUUAAAGGCCAAAAAUUAUCAUUUGGCGCUGGAUAAGGAGUAAACCUCACACCAUUGCAAUGUGAUUCUAGGAAGUGGCAAUGGA